rnacentral:rRNA from 1 species
UACGUAGGGUGCGAGCGUUAUCCGGAAUGAUUGGGCGUAAAGCGUCCGCAGGUGGCAAUGUAAGUCUGCUGUUAAAGAGUGAGGCUCAACCUCAUAAGAGCAGUGGAAACUACAUAGCUAGAGUGCGUUCGGGGCAAAGGGAAUUCCUGGUGUAGCGGUGAAAUGCGCAGAUAUCAGGAAGAACACCCGUGGCGAAGGCGGUUCUCUGGGACGGUACUGACGCUGAGACGCGAAAGCGUGGGGAGCGAACAGG